CGGUAGAUGGCGGGGCGUGUGCACCAAUGGCAUACGGCUAGCGACAAAAUGUCUUCUGGCUGCCGCGGCUCAGCACUUGACGCGCGCAAAACUAGUAACCACCGAUACGUACGGGUCCGCACGGCCAAUUGACGACGACGCGCGCGCGUUUUCGCCUUGCACACGCACACACACACACACCGUCGUUUGGACGUCUAAACGACAGUUAAACGGGAAAAACGAUUCGGUUUUCGAGGAACAGGCGAACGGUUUUUCGCGGACGACACGGCCGUACUGGUGCGGGAACGGUCUCGAGUGGCGCGACGUGUCGCCGGGGCGGCGAAGUAUCCGAAAGUGACGUGAACGGGUCGGUGCGCAGACGCGUAUUUAAUUGCGAAGACGACGACAACGCCGACGUCUACUACCAUAAAAACUGUUAUCGCGAUAAACACAAUAAUAAUAUUAUUAUUAUUAUUAUUAUUAUUAUUAUACCACUAUUAUUAUAAUUAUUAUUAUAUACCUUUGAGCGCGGUAUAUAAAUCACGAUACCAUUGAAAUAAUAUAUAUCGUACAAUACGAGCGUAUCGUUUACACAAUUAUUAAUAUUAUAUAUAUACAUAUAUAUAUUAUACUGUUUCGAGGGAUACUGUGUGGGAACGUGGACGGCAGAGAUAAUAGUCAAUCGGCCGUAACGUAAAAGCAGUUAUAGUCGAAUCGCACGGCACGGUCCCGGGACGACGGCGACGACGACUGCUGCUGCUGCUACGAGUUACGACGGUAGACGACGACGGCAGAACAACCAAAAUGGCGACUACGACGACGACGACAUCGAUCGGCCGGACGGACGGGGCCGAUCGAUAACAACGCGCCGCCCGCGUCCCCGUGACGUGCGUGUGUUCCACGGUAUAAUACACACGUACACCAUUACACGAUAUUAACCAUAAUAUUAUAGACGAAAUAAUUAAACGUAUACAAUGUCAUAUCACAUUAUAUAGGUAUACGCGGCGGGUUUUUUUUCUAUAGUCGUUGCAUCACAGUAUUCCUUCUUUUCUGUUCGCGUUACGUACCCCGUGACCGUUGUUUUCCGUCCGUGUGCGUCCUCGAACGGGGCCGUUUCAAAGGCGCCGCUCCGCUGAAAAAGACGCGGUCGGCAGCGAGCCGGAGACGUCGACGACGGUUUUUCGCGCGCGCCGCGUACGGGCGAUGGACUCAGCCGACACGGGCACUGCCGACGCUGCCGCCGCCGCCGCCGCCGUCGUGGUCGACGCCGACGCCGCAGCCGUAGCCGCCGUUCUCCCGUCACGCAGACUAUUCAAUUUGGAUUUCAACCAGACAUUUCAUUUCAUUGGAAAUUAAAAUUGUCCAAGUCUUAAGAUUUUAAUUGAAUAUUUGACUGAAUUUUUAACUUGUCAUUUUUAAGAUAAACUAUUAUUAUGAUGGAUCGUAGUGGAAAUGAUAUCAACAUGACUGGAGACAGCGAUCUAGACGAUGAUGGGUGUUUAUCAUCCGAUGACUGCGACGGAGACUCCAACCAGAGUAAAAGUGAUUUGAUGUCUGCAGCAAUGGGAGAUGAUGUGACUGCACAACUUGCUGCAGCAGAAAAACGCAAUAGCGAAUCGUCGAACACUAGGGGUCUUUGUUAUGGUUUGUGUCGAUCAGGACCUGUUGGAAUGGCUGCUGCUGCUGCAAUUGUGUCAUCGAAAAAGCGCAAAAGACCACAUUCAUUUGAGACCAAUCCAUCCAUUCGAAAACGACAGCACAAUCGGUUACUACGCAAACUCAAAGUUACCAUUGAUGAGUUUGCUACCAGAGUUGGUCAACAAGCAAUCGUAUUAGUAGCUACUCCUGGGAAGGAAACCACAGGUUUUAAAUGCUUUGGUGCAAAACCUUUAGAAGAUGUCGUAAAAAAUUUGCGUGCCACUAUUAUGGACCAACUGGAUACUGCAUUAGCACAACAUGCACCACCACCUAUUCCAGAUGACCCUACUCUUUAUGAACUACCACCACUCAUUCUUGAUGGAAUUCCAACUCCGGUUGAAAAAAUGACCCAGGCUCAAUUAAGAGCUUUUAUACCUUUAAUGUUGAAGUAUUCCACUGGUAGAGGGAAACCUGGUUGGGGCAGAGAAAGUACUAGACCACCUUGGUGGCCCAAUGAACUACCUUGGGCAAAUGUCAGAAUGGAUGCUCGAUGUGAAGAUGAAAAACAAAAAAUUUCUUGGACACGAGCAUUACGACAGAUAGUUAUAAACUGUUAUAAAUACCAUGGUCGAGAAGAUUUAUUGCCUACAUUUUGCGAAGAAGAUGAAGCAAAAACAAUUGUUAAUAAUGUUGCAAGUCAAUCAAUUGUUACUUCUGUGCUCAAAUUCAAUCCAAAAGCAACUAGUAUUGAAACACGAAAUUCACCAGAUGCACAGGAACAACAACAACAACAACAACAACUCACCCAGGUACAGUAUUCUCCGGCGUUCCUUCAUUCAAUUAGUAAUGUUGAUGGGUCAAUGUCUAUAUUUCAUGUUGAUCCAAAUAAUCCAAUAAUAACAUUACCUGAUGGAACUCAGGCUCAUGUUCAAGGAGUUAUAAAUGCUUCUCAAGGACCAAAUGGCCAUACAGUUCAUUCUGUUCAUACACUUGGCGAAGGCCAAAAUCAAGAUGGUGUAACUGUAGAUAUAUUAAAUAAUGUACCUGAGGCCACAUUAAAUCAAGACGGUCAAAUAAUUAUUACCGGUGAAGAUGGACAAGUGUUGUAUUUUCAGUAUCAAGCAUGAUAACAGUCCCUGUAAGUACUUCAUUAUACCAAAGUGUUUGUCAACAAAUUAGUGAAGGAAGCAUACAGGUUGUCACACCAGUUAUGCAUCAUAUGCCGAAGUCAGAGCCCGGUGGUGGGAUGGAUUCUUCAAAUUGUGAAGUAGAAACCAUUAAUGUACCACAUCAAUUGGUUGCCAUCACCGGGCAAAAUGGCGAACAAGUGUUGCAGUUGAUCUCAUUAAAGGAUAACAAGCUGAUCAAUGCUACAGUUGGCGAAAUUAAAGAAGAAGGCGCAAACAUGUCUAAUUCAGACCAAUGAGAACAACUUCAACAUUACCUGUGCUUUGAUGACCUUGGCAAAUAAAUUUUAAUUAAUGUAGGGUAAUGAUUGUCGGUAUUUUUAAUUCUUAAAUGUAUAAUAUAUGUGCGUGUGAUUUAAUGAUGGCAUAUACUUAUGUAUAUUCCUUGUUAUUCUGCCUACAAAUCUGUGUACAAAUAUACUAUAUAUUUUUAUCACUUCCAUUUGGUCCAGAUAAUUUACUCAUUAAAAAUAUUGAGUAAAUUAUCUUUCUAUACAUUUUUAAAUGUUGUUAUAAUAAUGUAAUUUUGUUCUUGGUUUAAAAUUUCUUAGAAGUUUUUAUUAUACAUAACUCUAGUGUUUGGGAUUUUCUACUUGUAGAAAAAUAAAAGUUAGUAAAAAAUACAGUGAAAUACUAUUUUAAGCCUAAUUUAAUUAGCCUGUUUUAAGCAGUUUAAGCCUGAUUUAAUUGACCAUUUUGGAAAUUUGAGCAUUUAAAGUUUUAAAAAAAAUUAAAGUCAUACAUAUUUGUGUGGCCAUGACUCUAAACCUAGUCAAUAUGUUAGUCUUGUACACAAUAUUACAGAAGUUUAAGUUUUUGUUUAUUUGUUUAAGAAAAAUAUUCUCGUCCUAGAUUUUUAGAUGUUUUUAUUUUUAUGUGGGUUGUAUUUUCUUGUAAACUGUUUUUUUUUUUUUUUUUUAUGUUAUUUGUCACCUUCACAGACAUUGAUGUUAAAAAAGUGCAAUUCUGUAAAAAAAAAAAAUACCAAUUUUAAAUUUAAUUUUUUUGUUUCCACAUUGUUGAUAUUGUUUAUUUGAGUGUACUUGCCUGAUAUAUAUUUAUGUA